GACGAACGCUGGCGGCGUGCUUAACACAUGCAAGUCGAACGGAAAGGCCCUGCUUUUGUGCGGUGCUCGAGUGGCGAACGCGUGAGUAACACGCGAGUAUCCCCUCCUUUUCUUUGGGAUAACUUCAGGAAACUUGGGCUCAUACCCGAUAUAAGCUCCUGCUGCAUGUGGUGGGUUGUAAAGUUUCGGCUGUUGGGGAUGGACUCGCUGCUUAUCAGCUUGUUGGUGGGGUAGGUGCUUACCAAGGCUUUGACGGGUAGCCGGCCUGAGAGGGUGACCGGCCACAUUGGGACUGAGAUAGGGCCCAGACUCCUACGGGAGGCAGCAGUGGGGAAUAUUGCACAAUGGGCGGAAGCCUGAUGCAGCAACGCCGCGUGCGGGAUGACGGCCUUCGGGUUGUAAACCGCUUUCGCCUGUGACGAAGCGUGAGUGACGGUAAUGGGUAAAGAAGCACCGGCUAACUACGUG
rnacentral:rRNA from 1 species